rnacentral:rRNA from 1 species
UACGAAGGGGGCUAGCGUUGUUCGGAAUUACUGGGCGUAAAGCGCACGUAGGCGGAUAUUUAAGUCAGGGGUGAAAUCCCAGAGCUCAACUCUGGAACUGCCUUUGAUACUGGGUAUCUUGAGUAUGGAAGAGGUAAGUGGAAUUCCGAGUGUAGAGGUGAAAUUCGUAGAUUAUUCGGAGGAACACCAGUGGCGAAGGCGGCUUACUGGUCCAUUACUGACGCUGAGGUGCGAAAGCGUGGGGAGCAAACAGG